UACAGAGGUCUCAAGCGUUGUUCGGAUCCAUUGGGCGUAAAGGGUGCGUAGGUGGCGCUGUAAGUCGGGUGUGAAAUUUCGGAGCUUAACUCCGAAACUGCAUUCGAUACUGCGGUGCUUGAGGACUGGAGAGGAGACUGGAAUUCAUGGUGUAGCAGUGAAAUGCGUAGAGAUCAUGAGGAAGACCAGUGGCGAAGGCGGGUCUCUGGACAGUUCCUGACACUGAGGCACGAAGGCCAGGGGAGCAAACGGG
rnacentral:rRNA from 1 species